AACGUAGGUACCGAGCGUUAUCCGGAUUUACUGGGCGUAAAGCGUGUUCAGGCGGCCUGGCAAGUCGGGCAUGAAAUCUCUCGGCUCAACCGAGAGAGGCUGUCCGAUACUGCUGGGCUUGAGGACGGUAGAGGGUGGUGGAAUUCCGCGUGUAGUGGUGAAAUGCGUAGAUAUGCGGAGGAACACCAGUGGCGAAGGCGGCCACCUGGACCGUCCCUGACGCUCAAACACGAAAGCUAGGGUAGCGAACAGG
rnacentral:rRNA from 1 species